CGACCUCAGAGCAGGCGAGACUACCCGCUGAAUUUAAGCAUAUUACUAAGCGGAGGAAAAGAAACUAACAAGGAUUCCCCCAGUAGCGGCGAGCGAACAGGGAAGAGUCCAGCACCGAACCCCGCAGGCUGCCGCCUGUCGUGGCAUGUGGUGUUUGGGAGGGUCCACUACCCCGACGCCUCGCGCCGAGCCCAAGUCCAACUUGAAUGAGGCCACGGCCCGUAGAGGGUGCCAGGCCCGUAGCGGCCGGUGCGAGCGUCGGCGGGACCUCUCCUUCGAGUCGGGUUGCUUGAGAGUGCAGCUCCAAGUGGGUGGUAAACUCCAUCUGAGACUAAAUAUGACCACGAGACCGAUAGCGAACAAGUACCGUGAGGGAAAGUUGAAAAGAACUUUGAAGAGAGAGUUCAAAAGUACGUGAAACCGUUCUGGGGUAAACGUGAGAAGUCCGAAAGGUCGAACGGGUGAGAUUCACGCCCAUCCGGCCACUGGCCUCCGCCCUCGGCAGAUGGGGCCGGCCGCCCGCGCGGAGCAAUCCGCGGCGGGGUCGUGUCCGGUUGCCUUUCCACUCGCCGCGGGGUGGGGCCGUUCCGGUGUGCGGUGGGCCGCACUUCUCCCCUAGUAGGACGUCGCGACCCGCUGGGUGCCGGCCUACGGCCCGGGUGCGCAGCCUGUCCUUCCGCGGGCCUCGGUUCGCGUCUGUUGGGCAGAGCCCCGGUGUCCUGGCUGGCUGCCCGGCGGUAUAUCUGGAGGAGUCGAUUCGCCCCUUUGGGCGCUCGGGCUCCCGGCAAGCGCGCGCGGUUCUUCCCGGAUGACGGACCUACCUGGCCCGGCCCCGGACCCGCGCCGCUGUUGGCUCGGGAUGCUCUCGGGCGGAAUAAUCGCUCCCGUCAGCGGCGCUUCAGCUUUGGACAAUUUCACGACCCGUCUUGAAACACGGACCAAGGAGUCUAACAUGUGCGCGAGUCAUUGGGCUGUACGAAACCUAAAGGCGUAAUGAAAGUGAAGGUCUCGCCUUGCGCGGGCCGAGGGAGGAUGGGGCUUCCCCGCCCUUCACGGGGCGGCGGCCUCCGCACUCCCGGGGCGUCUCGUCCUCAUUGCGAGGUGAGGCGCACCUAGAGCGUACACGUUGGGACCCGAAAGAUGGUGAACUAUGCCUGGCCAGGACGAAGUCAGGGGAAACCCUGAUGGAGGUCCGUAGCGAUUCUGACGUGCAAAUCGAUCGUCGGAGCUGGGUAUAGGGGCGAAAGACUAAUCGAACCAUCUAGUAGCUGGUUCCCUCCGAAGUUUCCCUCAGGAUAGCUGGUGCUCGUACGAGUCUCAUCCGGUAAAGCGAAUGAUUAGAGGCCUUGGGGCCGAAACGACCUCAACCUAUUCUCAAACUUUAAAUGGGUGAGAUCUCCGGCUUGCUUGAUAUGCUGAAGCCGCGAGCAAACGACUCGGAUCGGAGUGCCAAGUGGGCCACUUUUGGUAAGCAGAACUGGCGCUGUGGGAUGAACCAAACGCCGAGUUAAGGCGCCCGAAUCGACGCUCAUGGGAAACCAUGAAAGGCGUUGGUUGCUUAAGACAGCAGGACGGUGGCCAUGGAAGUCGGAAUCCGCUAAGGAGUGUGUAACAACUCACCUGCCGAAGCAACUAGCCCUGAAAAUGGAUGGCGCUGAAGCGUCGUGCCUAUACUCGGCCGUCAGUCUGGCAGUCAUGGCCGGUCCUUGCGGCCGGCCGCGAAGCCCUGACGAGUAGGAGGGUCGCGGCGGUGGGCGCAGAAGGGUCUGGGCGUGAGCCUGCCUGGAGCCGCCGUCGGUGCAGAUCUUGGUGGUAGUAGCAAAUACUCCAGCGAGGCCCUGGAGGGCUGACGCGGAGAAGGGUUUCGUGUGAACAGCCGUUGCACACGAGUCAGUCGAUCCUAAGCCCUAGGAGAAAUCCGAUGUUGAUGGGGGCCGUCAUAGCAUGAUGCGCUUUGUGCUGGCCCCCGUUGGGCGAAAGGGAAUCCGGUUCCUAUUCCGGAACCCGGCAGCGGAACCGAUACAAGUCGGGCCCCUCUUUUAGAGAUGCUCGUCGGGGUAACCCAAAAGGACCCGGAGACGCCGUCGGGAGAUCGGGGAAGAGUUUUCUUUUCUGCAUGAGCGUUCGAGUUCCCUGGAAUCCUCUAGCAGGGAGAUAGGGUUUGGAACGCGAAGAGCACCGCAGUUGCGGCGGUGUCCCGAUCUUCCCCUCGGACCUUGAAAAUCCGGGAGAGGGCCACGUGGAGGUGUCGCGCCGGUUCGUACCCAUAUCCGCAGCAGGUCUCCAAGGUGAAGAGCCUCUAGUCGAUAGAAUAAUGUAGGUAAGGGAAGUCGGCAAAUUGGAUCCGUAACUUCGGGAUAAGGAUUGGCUCUGAGGAUCGGGGCGUGUCGGGCUUGGUCGGGAAGUGGGUCAGCGCUAACGUGCCGGGCCUGGGCGAGGUGAGUGCCGUAGGGGUGCCGGUAAGUGCGGGCGUUUAGCGCGGGCGUGGUCUGCUCUCGCCGUUGGUCGGCCUCGUGCUGGCCGGCGGUGCAGGAUGCGCGCGCCUGCGCGGCGUUCGCGCCCCGGUGCUUCAACCUGCGUGCAGGAUCCGAGCUCGGUCCCGUGCCUUGGCCUCCCACGGAUCUUCCUUGCUGCGAGGCCGCGUCCGCCUUAGCGUGCUCCUCCGGGGGCGCGCGGGUGCGCGGAUUCUCUUCGGCCGCCAUUCAACGAUCAACUCAGAACUGGCACGGACUGGGGGAAUCCGACUGUCUAAUUAAAACAAAGCAUUGCGAUGGCCCUAGCGGGUGUUGACGCAAUGUGAUUUCUGCCCAGUGCUCUGAAUGUCAACGUGAAGAAAUUCAAGCAAGCGCGGGUAAACGGCGGGAGUAACUAUGACUUCCCCAAUCAGACCGCCGAUUCCGCUCGCUUGAUGAUCUCGUGGCUCUGGGUCCCACCACUAGCCGUGAAACAAUCCAGGCUAUGUUGCUGUCUGUUCUUGAUGAAGUAGGCAGCAGGGAGCCAGCCGUCCACCAAGCUGCAAGUAUGCGGACCCAACAGCCCCCAGAGCGGAAGCGUGCACGCAGGAGAUGGGAGUAUGCGGUGGUCCAGCGUGCUUUCAAGAAGAACGGAGCACGCUGUAUCAACGGACUUCUCGAUGGCACACUCUUGCAUCAGCCACCAUCCAUCCCAGGGCUGAUUGAGUUUUGGACAGACCUCUUCUCUCCACCACGUGUCAGGUCUCGACCUCCGCGUGGGGAGGGUCUGUCCGAUGAGCUGCUGCCAUUCUCGAAGAGGGUGCCCUUCCGUGACCUCUGGGCUCCCAUUUCUGCAGAAGAAGCCACCGCUGCUCUCCCGCCUCGCAAUUCUGCUGCAGGUCCUGACGGCCUCACGCCGACACAACUGCGUCGCCUUCCCCGGGAGGUUCUCCUCAAGAUCCUUAAUUUCCUCCUCCUUUCCCGCUCCCUUCCUUCCCGACUUCUUCAGGCCAGAACAACCCUGCUGCCCAAGAAGACCGCCGCAGCAUCCCCUGCUGACUUUCGUCCGAUCACAGUGUGCUCGGUGCUGACCAGAGCCUUUCACAAGGUUCUGGUUGGCCGCCUGAUGCGCUACUGUGUGUUGGACGGUCGCCAGCGGGCUUUCAUCCCUCAGGAUGGGAUGCUUCACAACACCUUUCUUCUAGAUCUGGCGAUGACCCAGGCGUGCCGAGCUGCCGGCUCGCUGUACUUGGCAUCUCUGGAUGUGUCAAAGGCCUUCGACUCGCUUGCCCAUGGUGCCCUUGGCCCGGUGCUAAGGGCCCACGGUUUGCCGGUCGAGUUUGUUGACUACAUCCAGGGAUGCUAUGAGGCGGGAUCGACGGUUAUCUGCGCGGAUGGGAAGUCGUCAGAUCUAGUGCGGCCUUCGAGGGGUGUUCGGCAGGGUGACCCGCUGUCUCCUAUCCUCUUCAACAUGUCCAUCGACAUUCUCUUGUCUCGCCUGCCUGCUCAUAUUGGUGCACGCAUUCUUGGACGGCGGAUAAAUGCGGCUGCAUUCGCCGAUGACCUCCUGCUGUUUGCCGAGACUCGCGAUGGGUUGCAGGAACUUCUCACCAUCGCCACGUCGGCCCUGGGGGAUCUCGGGCUCGAGGUCAACCCACGGAAGUGUUUUUCUCUCGCCCUUGUCUCAUCAGGCCGGGAGAAGAAAACCAAGGUCGACGAGACUGUCAUCUUUCGUGCUGGGGGGAACAACAUCCCAGCACUGGCGAUGGGAGAUACUUUCAAGUAUCUAGGCCUGCAAUUUUCCACGUGCGGACGCAGUCUUUUUCAUCCCCGGCGGGAGGUCGAGAAGCAGAUGAACAUCAUCAAGCGUGCACCACUCAAACCUCAGCAGCGGCUUUUUGCCCUUCGUUCUGUUAUCCUCCCGGGUAUUUUCCAUGGUCUCGCCCUGGGGAGGACUCGUCUUGGGGCCCUCUCUUCCCUUGACGUCUGUGUUCGUGCAGCUGUUCGAUCUUGGCUGCACCUGCCAGCAGAUACGCCGGUCGGUUACUUCCACGCCCCCACCUCUCAUGGGGGCUUGGGGGUGCCUGCAGCCCGCUGGCUGGGCCCUCUUCUUCGUAGGAGAAGAUUGGCGAAGAUGCAGGGACUGGGUGCGGCAGCGGACGAUUCUUCCCAGGACUUAAUCCAGCGAGAAAUUCACCAACUGGACCACGCCCUGCAAUGGCAGGGGGAAGUUAUAAAGUCCAGCUACCAGUUGGGCCGGUGUUGGGCCGACCGCCUGCACUCGUCGGUCGACGGCGCUGCGCUACGAGAGUCUGCCCGAACACCAGGGCAGCACUGCUGGGUCUCCAAUACGCGGCAGUUCGUAACCGGCCGCGACUACAUCUCAUGCCUGCGUGUCCGGAUUAAUGCCUUACCUACUCGGGCACGGCUGCUACGUGGGAGGGAAGGUGACACCAGAUGCCGCGCUGGCUGCAAUGCCACGGAGACUGCCAACCAUGUCAUUCAACAGUGCUGGAGAAGCGACGGGGCUCGCAUUGCUCGACACGA